UACGAAGGGUGCAAGCGUUACUCGGAAUUACUGGACGUAAAGCGUGCGUAGGUGGUUCGUUAAGUCUGAUGUGAAAGCCCUGGGCUCAACCUGGGAAUGGCAUUGGAAACUGGCGAUCUAGAGUGCGGUAGAGGGCAGUGGAAUUCCCGGUGUAGCAGUGAAAUGCGUAGAGAUCGGGAGGAACAUCUGUGGCGAAGGCGACUGCCUGGACCAGCACUGACACUGAGGCACGAAAGCGUGGGGAGCAAACAGG
rnacentral:rRNA from 1 species